rnacentral:RNase_P_RNA from 2 species
AUUACUUAACUACAUUUUUCAUAAAUGGAUGGGAAGGUCUGAGAUGCCUCUACAUUCUUUUGAAUGUAUUCUUAGAAGUAUUAGUUGAGAUAACUAACGCCACCUAACAGAAAUUCGUUGAAAUUUUUUAUUUCAACUUGAAAAUGGUUGGCCGGCACGUGGAACGAAAAUGUAUUUUCGGAUCAUUUUUGUAUCUAAUUAAGUCCAAUUCUCGAGACGUUGGAUCAUGUAUUAACGAACUCAAUUCAGACUACUCUAAU